AACACAAUCUUCAUCAUCACACAAACCAACAAGAACAACAAUGACUUUCAGCAUCAUCUUCAUCUGGACACUCACAGUGUUUAUUACAGAAUCCAGAGGAGUUACUCUGACUCAACCUAGAGUGAAAAGUGUUCAACAGGGACAAACAGCUACAAUAGAGUGUCAUAUAGAUGUAGGAAUUAAUAGCGAUGACUUAGCCUGGUAUCAACAGAAACCUGGAGAAGCUCCUAAACUCCUCAUAUAUGACAUCAAAAGCCUCUAUUCUGGAGUAUCAUCUAGAUUCAGUGGCAGUGGAACAAUAAAUACUGGAAAAGAUUUUACUCUGAGCAUCAGUGGAGUUCAGACUGAAGAUUCAGGAGAUUAUUACUGUCAGAGUUAUCACAGUGGUCCAGUGUUGACACAGUGAUAAAGAGUCGUACAAAAACCUCCGUCAGACUGAACAGUGACUGCACUGAUACACCUGACACAUACUGCAGCUGAUCAUACAACACACACAUAAACACACACACACACAACACUGAUCACUAAUAACACAGCACUGUUUUUUUUAAUUAUGAAGAUAAUCUAAAAUUACUUUAACAUUUAUACUGACAUAUUAUAUUAUUUUAGCAUGGUUAUAGUUUUUUUUUCUAGUUUCCAUAAUUAAUAUUAUUGACUCCUUUAUAUAAGAUCUUUUUCUUUGUUUGUGUGACAUCUUCUAACUAAAACAUCUAAUUUUUUUGAGAUAAACAUUAUGAUCAGAUGCACAAACAGCAGCUGUUCAUCAUCACAACAUUUGUCCAGAGAGUUCAGUGUUCACACCAGUCAAGAGAA